UACGCAGGCGGUUCGUUAAGUUGGGUGUGAAAGCCCGGAGCUCAACUCCGGAAUUGCGCCCGAUACUGGCGGACUUGAAUACGGGAGAGGGAAGCGGAAUUCCUGGUGUAGAGGUGAAAUUCGUAGAUAUCAGGAGGAACACCAGUGGCGAAAGCGGCUUCCUGGCCCGAUAUUGACGCUCAUGUACGAAAGCGUGGGGAGCAAACA
rnacentral:rRNA from 1 species